rnacentral:sRNA from 1 species
ACCUAAAAUUCAGAGAUCUACCGGCUUCUAUCACCGGUCCAGAGGCGUGCACCCCCACACCUGGUUCAUUAGAGCUGAGGACACUGCUCCGGUCCAGACCCUGCUUAUUGUGUGAAGCUGUGACCCAGAAUGGGUUAUUUCUUUCGCUGCAAACAAUGAAAUGAACACAAACAAUGAAAUGAAGCCAAACAAUGAAAACGAACACACAGUUUAAGAAACGGGCAAAUCGUUUAAACCGUGACUCUCAGUUCUGCAUUUAUAAAGCGCAGACCGCUGACUACGGUACAAAGCUAUAAAGAAGUGAACGGCACGUAUACCAAGCGCGCUGCUCAGGGGAACACAAAGCAAAGGCUACUGGACCAAGGACAUGCUAUUUUGGGAGAGCGGCUCUGUAUCCAUGUUAAUAGGAAAGAAGAAAAGGCUCUGGACCCCUUCCAGAGUGAUAUGGACCAGAUAAGAGAGGGGAAGACCUCCUGAAGAUCUUGGCUACAGAAAAGAAAAGUUUGAGAACAUCAAACAGGGCAGGUUCAUAUAUUGCAGGAUAUACAGCUCUGAUGGGAUUCAUCCUUGGGGAUGCUGAUGUGACCUGCUGUUCCAGCCCCCUGCCUCCUGAAGCUAUCUCCAGAGAAUUGCUUCCAGAACAGCUUCAGGAAUAGCUGGUGAUUCCAGAUGACCUCGCUUCAUCCAACCUUUCAGACAGAUCCAGUAAGAACUUCAGUCAAGCCCCAAGCCUUCUAAGCAUACAAAGACUGGAUAACAGAUACUAAAGCUAUUUUCCUACUCCUCCCCACUCCUUUAAAGAAUCUGUCAACACCUCUAUUCAGCAGGAAAAAGUUGUGAAGAGUCGUCAUCCCAAUCCCUUGGGUUUGGGUGUCUGGUUAUGGUUAUUUUAUAAAUUAUAGAUAGUUGUCAUUUUAAGGGAUAAUUUGGAAAUGGUCAUAAUUUUAAACAGGGAAGAAAUAGAUGAUGUGAAUUACUAAAUUUAUUCUUGAACAAAACAUUGUUUAGUUCUAUCUUACACGGAUAGAAAUCUUUAUACUUGAUAGAAAAUUGGAGUUAUAGUUUCUUACAUUGGUAUAGAAUUUAUAUAU